AUGGACAAUGAGUACUCAAUGGGAUACUAUCUCACCGAUGGAAUUUACCCCGAUUGGGAAACUCUUGUGAAGUCCAUCAAGGAGAAAAAUGGGGUGCCCUUAACCAGAAAAGAGGCUCAUUUCACCAAGGCACAAGAGGCAGCCCGCAAGGAUAUUGAGAGAGCUUUCGGUGUUUUGCAAGCAAGAUUUGCCAUAGUUCGGGGUCCAGCUCGUUUUCGGGACAAAAAACCUUGGAGAACAUCAUGA
rnacentral:rRNA from 1 species